rfam:Haemonchus contortus, ISE/inbred ISE, WGS project CAVP01000000 data, contig: Hcontortus_31937
GGCAUAAACUUGAUGUAGAGUAUACUAGUAUGGUCAAGCUGACCCUACUAAUCUACUCUACUUCAAAUUUAGGCUC